AUGCUAUUAAGCCAUUGCGAAACUAAAAUAGCUAAGUGCUGCAACAGGACUGUUACUUUCCAUACCAGCAACGAAAACCCAAUUAGUAACUAAGCAUGUAGAAGAUGCAUAGGUUCCUUAUCCGGACGAGGGUUCGA
rnacentral:tmRNA from 14 species